CUGUAAGACACAAUUUCUCUGAAUCCAAGACUCUACACUCUGCACGGUAGGCAGAAGUACCUCAUCAACUAGACAAGGAAUUAUGAAGAGAUGCUGGCGAGCUCUUCUGGGGCUUCUGUGGGUCCAUGUUUGCUGGUUCAGCCAAGGAGAGAAGGUGGAGCAGCAUCCUUCUACCCUGAGUGUGCAGCAGGGAAGCAGCUGUGUUAUCAACUGCAGUUAUUCAGACAGUCGUUCAGACUACUUCCCUUGGUAUAAGCAAGAGUUUGGAAAAGGUCCCCAGCUCCUUAUAGACAUUCGUUCAAGCACGGCCACCAAAGAAGACCAAAGACUCACUGUUUUAUUGAAUAAGACAGCCAAACAUCUCUCCCUGCACAUCGCAGACACCCAGCCUGAAGACUCAGCUGUGUACUUCUGUGCAGCAAGCACACAUUGCUUCCCAGGCACCUGCUGCCUGCACUCAAACCUGGGUGUGGGGCAGCCCCCUGUCCUUUGACAAAGACCUUCAAGUAUAGCUUUUGUGCUGUUGUUUGUCUGCAAGUGGAAGCUAAUGUGUUAGACAUUAAAGGCAUAUAUAAUAAGACUAUUAGGAUGGAGAUGACCCAGACAGGGUUAGAACAUUUUGUUGGACGACUGUUGUUUAAUGGAUUCUUGAAUGGAGCUAGUAAUGUUUUAUUUUGAAAUUAAGGUUUUAAAGAACUAUACAUUUGCCAUUGAGACUACUGUCCUAUAAAU